UAUUGCAUGGCUGUCGUCAGCUCGUGUUGUGGGACGUUGGGUUAAGUCCCGUAACGAGCGCAACCCCUGCCCUUAAUUGCCAUCGGGUAAUGCCGGGGACUAUAAGGGGACUGCCGGUGAUAAACCGGAGGAAGGUGGGGACGAUGUCAAGUCAUCAUGGCCCUUACGUGUAGGGCUACACACGUGCUACAAUGGCGCAUACAGAGUGCUGCGAACUCGCGAGAGUAAGCGAAUCACUUAAAGUGCGUCGUAGUCCGGAUUGGAGUCUGCAACUCGACUCCAUGAAGUCGGAAUCGCUAGUAAUCGCGUAUCAGAAUGACGCGGUGAAUACGUUCCCGGGCCUUGUACACACCGCCCGUCACA
rnacentral:rRNA from 1 species